rnacentral:lncRNA from 1 species
GCCAUUUUCGAGUGAUGCCUGAUCUCAUCAAUCUAGCGGGAGAGACAGGAUAACCUGUCCGAGAGUAUAGCGCCACUAUGACUCCGCCGGAAAAAUUACUUUAAAAAUCGCCAAAAAUUACUUGGAGCAAAGGGCAGUCGGCGGAGCUUCGCCAAGGCUGGCGCAGUCGGUUUAAUAAUGAUAGAAUGAAGACCACAAUAAAAGAGACCUCUACUUAGCUCAGCAAUUCUUACCUUUCUUACCUAUUUGAUGAAGAUGUCUUUUGAAAGGUGUACUGCAAGGAACAAAAUGUUUGUAAAUUCUCCUUUUACCAAGGUGGAUAAUUACUGUACCUUCCUCAUGGAAAAAGUUUUAUUUAAAGUGUUAUUUCUCAUUGAAUACUAUCAAAAAGGAAAAAAAAAUGACCUAAACUUUUGAGAUAGAUUUGGCUCUAGUAAGUAUUUAGUUAUAUCACUUGCAUAUCUGGGAGAAGAAAUAAGAGACUAUCAUCAGUACAUUCCCAUCUACUAAAAAAAUUUAUUUUACACAUGUCAAGGGAUUACUUAUAACUUCCAUUUUAUUACUAAUAGCUUGAACCCUUUUAAUGAAGACCUAACUCCUCCACCAGAAAUUUAAGUUUAUGUUCUUACUUUGUUUACUUAUAAAAUACAUCUCAGGUAUUUCGGAUGUCUUUUUUUUUUCUAAGCCUAUAUGAAAU